rnacentral:snRNA from 1 species
GUGCUCGCUUUGGCAGUACAUAUACUAAAACUGGAACGAUACAGAGAAGAUUAGCAUCACCCCUGCGCAAGGAUGACACGCAAAUUCGUGACGCAUUCCAUAUUAAG